GACGAACGCUGGCGGCGUGCUUAACACAUGCAAGUCGAACGGAAAGGCCCUGCUUUUGUGGGGUGCUCGAGUGGCGAACGGGUGAGUAACACGUGAGUAACCUGCCCUUGACUUUGGGAUAACUUCAGGAAACUGGGGCUAAUACCGGAUAGGAGCUCCUGCUGCAUGGUGGGGGUUGGAAAGUUUCGGCGGUUGGGGAUGGACUCGCGGCUUAUCAGCUUGUUGGUGGGGUAGUGGCUUACCAAGGCUUUGACGGGUAGCCGGCCUGAGAGGGUGACCGGCCACAUUGGGACUGAGAUACGGCCCAGACUCCUACGGGAGGCAGCAGUGGGGAAUAUGGCACAAUGGGCGGAAGCCGGAUGCAGCAACGCCGCGUGCGGGAUGACGGCCUUCGGGUGGGAAACCGCUUUCGCCUGUGACGAAGCGUGAGGGACGGGAAUGGGUAAAGAAGCACCGGCGAACUACGU
rnacentral:rRNA from 1 species